rnacentral:rRNA from 1 species
CCUACGGGAGGCAGCAGUGAGGAAUAUUGGUCAAUGGGCGCGAGCCUGAACCAGCCAAGUAGCGUGAAGGUUGACUGCCCUACGGGGUGUAAACUUCUUUUAUAAAGGAAUAAAGUGAGGCCCGUGUGCCUUUUUGUAUGUACUUUAUGAUUAAGGUUCGGCUAACUCCGUGCAAGCGGCCGCGGUAAUACGGAGGAUCCGGGCGUUAUCCGGAUUGAUUGGGUUUAAAGGGAGCGUAGAUGGGUUGUUAAGUCAGUUGUGAAAGUUUGCGGCUCAACCGUAAAAUUGCAAUUGAGACUGGCAGUCUUGAGUACAGUUGAGGUAGGCGGAAUUCGUGGUGUAGCGGUGAAAUGCUUAGAUAUCACGAAGAACUCCGAUUGCGAAGGCAGCUUACUAAACUGCCACUGACAUUGAUGCUCGAAAGUGUGGGUAUCAAACAGGAUUAGAUACCCUGGUAGUC